AUGCAUAUAUAUACUUUGCAAAUAAAUACUUUGUUUAUGAAAGGUUUUUAGGUAUAUCCAACAAAAAGUCAUCAAAGCAACAAAAAAGUCAAACACAAUCAUCAUAAAAAUUUAAACUAUAUAUAUUUAAUUUUAUGUAAAGUUUGGCGUACGCUUCAAUGCUUUUAAUGAACACGUUUGUUAACGUAGAUUUAAGGUUAUUUUCAAUUAAUAGUUGAUUUAAAAAAUUGUUGAUGAAAGUAGUUGAAGAAAAUUUUUGAUAAAUGUUGAUUAAAGUGAAAGACAAGCAAAGAAAAUUUUCAAGCGAAUAAAAAGUUCUGAUUGGCGGAAAAGGAGUUGCUCAAAGAAAAAAAGAGUCCAGAUCUAGAUUCAGAGGAGUAACAGUAGGGUGAAAUUAAACCAAAAUAAAGCCCUAAGUCAGUCUCAGAUGUAGGUUCUUGUUACGGAAACAAACGAACCGCACAGGCAAGACAUAAUUUCAUCCCGGGUUAUGGUAAGGGUUUUAUUCAUUUCCAAAUAUUGUAAAAAUGUCGAACAACAGUUUUACAACCAUAAUGUUUUAUAAUAGAAUCAUAUUGUAUAAUUAACGUCAGUUGUGCAACGAAAUGUUGUAAAAUAAAGGUUGAGGAAAUAGAAUCAAAUCAAUUUCGGCAACAACUAUUGUACAACAAAUACGACAUUUCUACAACUAUUGGAAACCAAACUUAUAUGAGAAUUUUUUUUAUACGAAUUCGAAGUAUUUAACAAGAACGAGAAAUAAUAAAUUACUUUUGCAACAAUUUAUUAGUAGUAAAUAAAAAAAGGAAUGAAAGUAAAGUAAAAAAUUGCCCCGCAAAUUAUUUGCGGGGCAAAUAAGUUGACAAGUUGACGCAAAUUGUUGGACGAAGUUGACGAACAUAGUUGGACGAAGUUGGCGUAAAUUGUUGGAUGAAGUUAACGUAUAUUGUUGGACGAAGUUGACGUAUAUUUUUGGACGAAGUUGACGUAUAUUGUUGGACGAAGUUGACGUAUAUUUUUGGACGAAGUUGACGUAUAUUGUUGGACGAAGUUGACGCAUAUUAUUGGACGAAGUUGACGUACAUAGUCGGACGAAGUUGGCGUAAAUUGUUGGACGAAGUUAACGUAUAUUGUUGGACGAAGUUGACGUAUAUUGCUGGACAAUGUUGACGUAUAUUGUUGGACGAUGUUGACGUAUAUUGUUGGACGAAGUUGACAUAUAUUGAUGGACAAAGUUGACGUAUAUUGUUGGACGAAGUUCAUACGUAUCUCAUGAUCCCAGAAACUAAAAAAGAAAAUCUAAAAGAUAAGUUAUUAUUAAUGUAUGUCUUAUAUACUAAACAUUGUAAAAAAAAAAAAAGGAAUUCAAUCUAUCAAA